rnacentral:rRNA from 1 species
UACGUAGGGCGCAAGCGUUGUCCGGAAUUAUUGGGCGUAAAGGACGUCGCGUGAGCGGUCUGUCGCGUCUGCCGUGAAAACCCGAGGCUUAACCUCGUGGCUUGCGGUGGAUACGGGCAGACUAGAGGUAGGUAGGGGAGAAUGGAAUUCCCGGUGUAGCGGUGAAAUGCGCAGAUAUCGGGAGGAACACCGGUGGCGAAGGCGGUUCUCUGGGCCUUACCUGACGCUGAGGAGCGAAAGCGUGGGGAGCGAACAGG